rnacentral:misc_RNA from 2 species
AAGUCGUAACAAGGUUUCCGUAGGUGAACCUGCGGAAGGAUCAUUACCGAGUACCGGGUCCUCUGGGCCCCUGCUCCCACCCUUUGUGUACCUACCUAUUUUUCGUUGCCUCGGCGGGGUCGAUCCCCAGGGCUGCCGGCCCUGUGGGGGACCCGCCGGGGGGACACGCCUAAACUCUUGUCAACCGUGACGUCUGAGAAAGAAAACAAACCAGUCAAAACUUUCAACAACGGAUCUCUUGGUUCUG